UAGUCAUAGAAUCACUGAAGUGAUCAGAUGAGAAGCACUGCGCAACCGCAACCUCAGUCUUCAAAGAUACAAUUUUUUUGAUGAUGAAAGCCAAGUGGUACUCUACCAAUAGCAUAAGCCUUAAACUACACAGCUGUAGGGAGGGUGGCGGCAUCUGAUCACUUCAGUGAUUCUUUGACUACACAGAAUUCAAAUUAAACUUCAACUUUAACCAAGGUAUAACGACGCACAAAGACAGAAUUGUGAAGUGAAAUAAAACUCACUUAUAUAAACGGUAGUAACCACUGUCCAGUUGAAUCAAAGAUUAUUAAAUGCAUGAAGCAAGAAACGAAACGAUUGGUUCAAAGUUCCUGUUUGAAGUUAGCCUCAAAUGAACAGAGAACGAGUUGACAAGAAGAGGAGCACAGCUGGUUUAUAUGGGAAUACCAAUUAUUUGUUGAAAAACACGUCCUGCAAACAUAACAAAUAUGUUGUCCAAAAAAAAUCAAGUAUCUUGAUAAUGACAGUUUCAGAGAACUUUUUGUUUGAAUCAGAGUGAUUUUUCACGAAGUAGGAUUUAUCCCUCCAUAAGACAAGAUACUUGUAUCUACCUUGGCCAUUCUUUUUAGUGAAGGAAAAAAAAAAACAAACAAAAAAAACAGGACCAACUCUUUUAAUUAGUCUUUUAAAGAAUAUUUAAGAUGAAAAAUUGUACAGAAAACCCCCAAUU